rnacentral:rRNA from 1 species
UACAGAGGGUGCGAGCGUUAAUCGGAGUUACUGGGCGUAAAGGGCGCGUAGGCGGUUAUUUAAGAUUGAUGUGAAAUCCCUGGGCUUAACCUAGGAACUGCAUUGAUUACUGGAUAGCUGGAGUACUGUAGAGGGUAGUGGAAUUUCCGGUGUAGCGGUGAAAUGCGUAGAGAUCGGAAGGAACACCAGUGGCGAAGGCGGCUACCUGGACAGAUACUGACGCUGAGGCGCGAAAGCGUGGGGAGCAAACAGG